rnacentral:misc_RNA from 1 species
GAUGAAGAACGCAGUGAAAUGCGAUAAGUAAUGUGAAUUGCAGAAUUCAGUGAAUCAUCGAAUCUUUGAACGCACAUUGCGCCCGCUGGUACUCCGGCGGGCACGCCUGUCCGAGCGUCAUUUCAACCCUCAAGCCCUCCUUCGGGAUGGGCCUGGUGUUGGGGCUCGGCCGCCAUCUCCGGCGGCCGUCCCCUAAAUACAGUGGCGGUCACGUCGCGACUCCUUUGCGUAGUAGAAACACCUCGCUCCGGAUAGCAACGCGGUCCACGCCGUAAAACCCCCAAUUUUCAAUGGUUGACCUCGGAUCAGGUGGGAAUACCCGCUGAACUUAAGCAUAUCAAUAAGCGGAGGA